CCCUUAGAUGUUCUGGGCAGCACGCGCGCUACAAUGGUCUUCGCAAACGGAUGCAUUCUCGAAGGAGAAUGCCAAUCUUGGAAUCUAUGCCUUGGUCGGGACAGUUGCUUGCAAUUUUUCGACUCGAACCAGGAAUUCCUUGUAAUCGUGAUUCAUCACAUCACGAUGAAUACGUCCCUGCCCUUUGUACACACCGCCCGUCGCUCCUACCGAUUGGAUGGCCCGGCGAAGUGGUCGGACCGGCGGCCCAGGCACGGUCGUGCCACGGGCCCCGGGAAGUCCACUGAGCCUUGCCAUCUAGAGGAAGGAGAAGUCGUAACA
rnacentral:rRNA from 1 species